AUUGAACGCUGGCGGCAGGCUUAACACAUGCAAGUCGAGCGGAGUGAUGGUGCUUGCACUAUCACUUAGCGGCGGACGGGUGAGUAAUGCUUAGGAAUCUGCCUAUUAGUGGGGGACAACAUCUCGAAAGGGAUGCUAAUACCGCAUACGUCCUACGAGAGAAAGCAGGGGAUCACUUGUGACCUUGCGCUAAUAGAUGAGCCUAAGUCGGACUAGCUAGUUGGUGGGGUAAAGGCCUACCAAGGCGACGAUCUGUAGCGGGUCUGAGAGGAUGAUCCGCCACACUGGGACUGAGACACGGCCCAGACUCCUACGGGAGGCAGCAGUGGGGAAUAUUGGACAAUGGGGGGAACCCUGAUCCAGCCAUGCCGCGUGUGUGAAGAAGGCCUUAUGGUUGUAAAGCACUUUAAGCGAGGAGGAGGCUCUUUUGGUUAAUACCCAAGAUGAGUGGACGUUACUCGCAGAAUAAGCACCGGCUAACUCUGUGCCAGCCGCCGCCGUAA
rnacentral:rRNA from 1 species